ensembl:snRNA U6 U6 spliceosomal RNA
GUGCUCGCUUUGGCAGCACAUGUACUAAAAUUGGAAUGAUACAGAGAAGAUUAACAUGGCCCCUGCGCCAGGAUUACACAUAAAAUAUUCCCAAAUGAUUCUGUAUUUUU